UCUAGCAAGCAAGCUUAAGCCGUUAGGUGUAGGCGCAGCGAAAGCGAGUCUUAAUAGGGCGCAUGAGUUCGUGGGAUCAGACCCGAAACCGAGUGAUCUAGGCAUGACCAGGAUGAAGGUGCGGUAACACGCACUGGAGGUCCGAACCCACACCUGUUGAAAAAGGUCGGGAUGAGUUGUGCCUAGGGGUGAAAGGCCAAUCAAACUCGGAGAUAGCUGGUUCUCUGCGAAAUCUAUUUAGGUAGAGCGUCAUCCGAAUACCCCGGGGGGUAGAGCACUGGAUGGGUAAUGGGGCCCCACAGGCUUACUGAUCCUAACCAAACUCCGAAUACCCGGGAGUACUAGAUGGCAGACACACUGCGGAUGCUAACGUCCGUAGUGGAGAGGGAAACAACCCUGACCUCCGGCUAAGGCCCCUAAUUCAUGGCUAAGUGGGAAAGCAGGUGGGAUGUCCAAAACAACCAGGAGGUUGGCUUAGAAGCAGCCACCCUUUAAAGAAAGCGUAAUAGCUCACUAGUCGAGUCGGCCUGCGCGGAAGAUGUAACGGGGCUAAGUAGUAAACCGAAGCUGCGGCAAUAUACUUUUGUAUAUUGGGUAGGGGAGCGUUCUGUAAGCGGUUGAAGGUGUGUGGUAACGCAUGCUGGACGUAUCAGAAGUGCGAAUGCUGACAUGAGUAACGAUAAUGGGAGUGAAAAACUCCCACGCCGGAAGACCAAGGUUUCCUGUCCCAUGCUAAUCAGGGCAGGGUAAGUCGGCCCCUAAGGCGAGGCAGAAAUGCGUAGUCGAUGGGAAACGGGUUAAUAUUCCCGUACUUCU
rnacentral:rRNA from 1 species